CCCAGCAGUACAACAGGAAGAAGAAAGACCACAGUAAAGACGCUGCUUAUCUGGGUAAAAUCCUAGAAGGAUUCACCCUGGCCUCCGAUAAGCUGGAGACCAAAACAAUCUUCCCUCCUCCCAACCUGCCCAGAGACUUCAGGCGGUCCACUACUUCCGUCCAGUGGUGGACCUGUCCAGCGUCAGCCCCAUGGUAGCCCAGGCCCUGAAGAGCGUC